GAUGAACGCUGGCGGCGUGCUUAACACAUGCAAGUCGAACGGAAAGGCCGAAGCUUGCUUCGGUACUCGAGUGGCGAACGGGUGAGUAACACGUGGGUGAUCUGCCCUGUACUUCGGGAUAAGCUUGGGAAACUGGGUCUAAUACCGGAUAUGACGAUCUCUUGGAUGGGGUUGUGGAAAGCUUUUGCGGUAUGGGAUGAGCUCGCGGCCUAUCAGCUUGUUGGUGGGGUAAUGGCCUACCAAGGCGUCGACGGGUAGCCGGCCUGAGAGGGUGUACGGCCACAUUGGGACUGAGAUACGGCCCAGACGCCUACGGGAGGCAGCAGUGGGGAAGAUUGCACAAGGGGCGCAAGCCUGAUGCAGCAACGCCGCGUGGGGGAUGACGGCCUUGGGGUUGUAAACUCCUUGCGCAAUCGACGAAGCCUUUUGGUGACGGAAGGUUGAGAAGAAGCACCGGCAAACUACGU
rnacentral:rRNA from 1 species